rnacentral:lncRNA from 1 species
AUGAUCUUGCCCUUGUACUCUUCACUCGGUCUUGCAGGGGUUGCUGUGAGCAGCCCUGUAACAGCUGCUUUUCCUGAGUUUUUCACUGCUGCUGUGCAUGGGAACUUCUCUAGGCGAAUAAAAUGUCAUGGGAGCCAGGAGACUGGUGUUACCAAAUUGGGCCUUUACUGGCAUACAGUCACAUCUGCAACUGAACUUCGGUCACACUCCCAACUUCUCCCUGACCUUGGGAACUGCUGUCCAAGGGUUUUUGCUGUGGCAUAAGAAACGUACAUGAAGCAGAAAGGAAUGAGCCUUAGACACCCAGUGUGCCCUUUGGGAACAGAGGCCACGUUCAUCUGAUAUCCUAGCUGCUUUUCCAGGAUCCUGGCAGUGAUUUCCAGUAGCUGCAUUGCUUUGAGAGAGACUUGCAUUGCUAGAAGCCAUUCCUUUGGGAUUUUGGAAACUUAUAACAUCCAAGUUAAAUGUGAAACAUCCCAAACUUUGCCUCUUCUGACAUGUCAAUCAUACUUUUCAGGUAGCAAGAUCCUAAGCUUUUCCAUGGAAGCUCAGAGCCCUUUUAAACUUAACGCAUUUCUGCAUGUGUCAGCUUGAUAUCUUGGUCCCUUAGGGCCUCCCUACUCUUCUCUCAAAAUCUGUGGACUCACAAGACUGCCUGCUGCUACUGCCUAUGGUGUUGUCUUUGCCCUCCUGAAACCUCUGGGGGUUGGGUUGCUGUGCUGACUCCCUGCGCUCGGAAAACUCAUGGGGUGGAUUCCCAUUAAAACUCAUUAAUGGAUUCCCAUUACAACUUCUGCUGCUAGAAUGGGGUUCCCUAUCUGAAAAUGUGAAACGGGGCGGAGGCAUGCCAUAUAAUCUCCUAGAAGGUAGCCAGUGACUACAGGCUAUUUUCUAAAGGUAAAAUAACGUCGUGUUUCUUUUGUGAGACAAAAGUGUUAAUUCUUUCCAUUUUUGGUUCUGAGAAAGAGAUAUGCCUUUCCUAGCAGCAAUAUAUAUUGAAGAGUUACAAGUGGUGCAUGAGGAGUUUGGAAUAAAUCCUGCUUGGCUGAUAUUCA